UGGGAACCACGGGGCUAUAAGAAUGUUUUCUGUCUUUGAGCUGAGCAGCCUGGAUGUGCAAGGAGUUAAAACCCACAGGAGUAGACAUGAGAAACCCGUGUAUCCUAAUCCUGGGUCUGCCAUCGGAUGGUUGGAGGAUGUUUUGUUGGUUGCAAACACCUGAAAUCAACAUUAGCUGAUUACCCACCUCUCCGCCUGGUGUCAGGACACACAGCCAAGGCCUCAUGAGUGGACACUGAGGACACUGGCUGUCCAGAAUCUGCACUUCCAUUGGGGAAGGAGUCCUAACCAGCUCGGAUCACAGGGGUGAGCUUAUCACCAUGCCCGGCCAAUAGAGAACCCGUUCCACCUGGUCUCAGCGACUGGCCCAGAGGAGGACCGUGCACCCAGCUGCACCCAGGCCUGGGAUUGGAGAAGGAGACAGAGGAGAUCCGGCAGGAGAUGGAGGAGCCACGGCGCGGUCUGCUGCCCACCAGCC